UAUGGAGAGUUUGAUCCUGGCUCAGGACGAACGCUGGCGGCGUGCCUAAUACAUGCAAGUCGAGCGGACGGAUGGGAGCUUGCUCCCUGAAGUCAGCGGCGGACGGGUGAGUAACACGUGGGCAACCUGCCUGUAAGACUGGGAUAACUUCGGGAAACCGGAGCUAAUACCGGAUAAUGCACAGCCUCUCAUGAGGCUAUGCUGAAAGAUGGUUUCGGCUAUCACUUACAGAUGGGCCCGCGGCGCAUUAGCUAGUUGGUGAGGUAACGGCUCACCAAGGCAACGAUGCGUAGCCGACCUGAGAGGGUGAUCGGCCACACUGGGACUGAGACACGGCCCAGACUCCUACGGGAGGCAGCAGUAGGGAAUCUUCCGCAAUGGACGAAAGUCUGACGGAGCAACGCCGCGUGAGUGAUGAAGGUUUUCGGAUCGUAAAACUCUGUUGUCAGGGAAGAACAAGUGCCGGAGUAACUGCCGGCACCUUGACGGUACCUGACCAGAAAGCCACGGCUAACUACGUGCCAGCAGCCGCGGUAAUACGUAGGUGGCAAGCGUUGUCCGGAAUUAUUGGGCGUAAAGCGCGCGCAGGCGGUCUCUUAAGUCUGAUGUGAAAGCCCACGGCUCAACCGUGGAGGGUCAUUGGAAACUGGGGGACUUGAGUGCAGAAGAGGAAAGUGGAAUUCCACGUGUAGCGGUGAAAUGCGUAGAGAUGUGGAGGAACACCAGUGGCGAAGGCGACUUUCUGGUCUGUAACUGACGCUGAGGCGCGAAAGCGUGGGGAGCAAAC
rnacentral:rRNA from 1 species